AUGUCUCCAAAUAAGUGUGUUUUUGGAUGUGAGGGCAAGUUUACCGUGUUCAGCUUCCCAAAGAACCCAGCAUUACAUGAACAGUGGAUGCAGUUUGUUUUUCCGGGGCAGCAACGGAGUGUAGCAAGUGCGUUUGUGUGUUCUCGUCAUUUCAGUGAUGAAUGUUUUAUAAACAAGGCCCAGGUCGACGCUGGAUUUGCACAUGGUUUGCUAUUAAAACAUGGAGCGUUCCCAGUGAUAAAGACCCCAUUCAUACUCUCUCUGACCUGCAGUAAUGGACGCUUCUCUGCUCUUGUCAAUUAGCCUCCAUUUUCCCCAGCAUGCUUUUAUAGUGCCUCUAAUGCAUCUUAAACUUCAGAAGUGGCUUCCACAUCACAAGAACAUCACUCCAGGUCAGUGACAUAUUCAAACUGCGAUUACUGCAGACAGGGCAUGAGUUUGAGAGGCAAACUAUAAGACAGCUGCAGAUGUGACAUUUCAGAAACUUCUCGAUACAGGCUUUACCCUCACGCUCUGUUCAGACUGAUUUUGCUUCUACACUGUUUAUGAUCCGAUGCUGUAUGAAAUAUAUAUGAUGUAUAUUCCAGUUGCUUCAAGUCGGUGAGAGCGUGAUUGGCAUCUUCUGACCUUGGAAUAUAAUAUAUUUAAGUAGCAGCUAAUGAUUGGAAUCAGCAGGAUUUGUUUGAGGUAAAUAAAGGAUCGCAUAAGGCUGGGGGUAAGUAAAUGACUUGGGUGAAAGCUGGUGAAGUAAUCAGUGCUGCACGAGGAGAGACCACUUACCUUCUGUUCAACCUGUCAACAUGCACAGCAUUUUGAGCAAGGAGGGAGAAAGGUGGAGCUUGUUUUCAAGAGGGAAAACAAAGAGAGAAAAGAAAUCACAAAAACAACCCUCUUGGCUUCUUGAAACAACAACAUCAGCAUGUGUGGAGAGAGGAGGACCUCGACAGUCGGUCCAAUCACAUUGAGUUUGUGUAUCUGCCAGCAUGUCUUUAUCCGACCGCUGCUGCAAACAAAUGAUCAUCAUUCGAUAUUUAUUGAGCAGUGUGCAGCGUCAGGCCUGACUACUGGACGCAUAUUGAUUUGAGUCUGUACGCACAGCAUCUAUCUUUAAUAAAC
ensembl:lncRNA